AUAAAAAUGCAUUCUUCCUAUUGACUAGGAAUUGUGGUUCCAAAAAAUACUGGAAAUCAUCAUAAAGACUUUUUGUCUUUGAUUGCUACAGAGUUUAUCAUAGCCUAAUUGAUCAUGUUUCCUUCCUCUUUGUAUACUUAGAGCUGAACUACACUGAAAUGAAUCUACCAGGAGGAGUUUAUGUCCCAUAUGAGUAACAAGUAAAUCUUCGGUAAAGGAAGGGCUAAAGGGACACCAAAGUAAAUUCUUAAGAUGGGGGCAAUCAACUGCAUAAUGACCUUCUUUGGGCUAGUCAACAUUUGUGCAGCUUUCUAUGAAAUACGGGAUAUAUGCCAUCAAACUUAAAGAAAAGUGAAGCUUCUUCUAAGGCAUCUUGAGGACAUUCUGUCAGAGCCCCAUGAAACAACAUUUUUAUGGGAAAAGGGAAUUUCAAAAUUAUUGGCAAAAGAUGACUUAGGCAUAAGGAAUGUGUUGUUUACCAAUGGACCAUAUACGACUACCAUGGUGACUAGCCCCGGAUAGGACCAAGAUAAGAAUGUUGGAUGUCAUUUUCUCCUAAAGGGAGAAGUCAACAAAUUAUACCUAAAAUUCAAGAAAAUGAUAAUAAGACCACAUGUCGAACUUUGAGUCUUACUUUCAACAUUGACACAAAGGACCUUCCCACCAUGACAGGAAUUUAAAUGGCAGAAUACCACAUCUUUUUCUUAUAGUCAUCUAUACCAUCUUCUCAAGAGAGAAAGGACUUUAAUUCCUUCAAAUCUUUCCUAGCUACCAGUAGCACCUUGGGAUGGUAGCAAAUGAAGUCACUUAAUGAGGUGGAAUGGAAGCAGUGAGGAAAAGAAUUAAUGGAACAGGAAGUUGGGAUGUGUGAGGAUAUCUGGACUAGGAGACAAAGCAUCCAUCGUUUAAACACCAGAAAAUCCAUUGCUAGCUGCCUUAUCAGCUGAACAGCUUUCCCCAAAGUCAUAUGUUGAAUUCUUCACCUCUGAUACCUCAGGACAUAAUUUUAUUUAAAAAUAGGUUCUGUAAAUAACUAACAAAAAGAAGUCUACAGGUGGGUCCUAAACCAGACUGAGGGGCAGGAAGUAUCCAGAGAGAAGAACUGAGGGGCAUGAAGUAUCCAAAGAGAAGAAGUAAGAACACAGAUAAGGUAAGAAGACAAUGGAAAGAACAUUUAGCCUGAAGAACUGUUAAGAAUGCAUUUCUGUUACUUGAGGAGUUAGUCUGUAUUACCUUAUUAUGAUAAUGGAAGAAAACUGCUAAUUACAUAGCCACAACUAUGCCAUCUGAAUUAAAUUUGAUGAGAUAUACCUUUAAAUUAUUAUAGACACCUUUUUUCCAUG
rnacentral:lncRNA from 1 species